ACCUGCCCUAUGAUAAUUAUUAAAUGGCCGCGAUAUUUUGAUCGUGCAAAGGUAGCAUAAUCAUUAGUUUCUUAAUUAGAAACUGGAAUGAAAGGUUGAACGAGAAAAAAACUGUCUCAAUUUAAUUUAAUUAGAAUUUUAUUUUUAAGUUAAAAAGCUUAAAUAAAUUUAAAAGACGAGAAGACCCUAUAGAGUUUUAUAUUUAAUAGUUUUUAAAAAAAUAUAGUAUAUAAUUUUUUAUUGUUUAUUAAAUAUUUAGUUGGGGUGACUAAAAAAUUAAAUAAACUUUUUUUUAAUUUUAACAUUAAUAUAUGAAUUAUUGAUCCAUAAUUUAUGAUUAAAAGAUUAAAUUAC
rnacentral:rRNA from 1 species